rnacentral:pre_miRNA from 1 species
AAUUUAAUCACCUGGGGAGCUUGUUAAAAUGCAGAUUCUGAUUCAGUAGAGCUGGGUUGGAGCCUGAGAAUUUGCAUUCCCAACAAGCUCCUAGGUGAGGAUGCU